rnacentral:rRNA from 1 species
AGUGAACGCUGGCGGUAGGCCUAACACAUGCAAAUCGAACGGCAGCACAGGAGAGCUUGCUCUCUGGGUGGCGAGUGGCGGACGGGUGAGGAAUACAUUGGAAUCUACUCUGUCGUGGGGGGAUAACGUAGGGAAACUUACGCUAAUACCGCAUACGACCUACGGGUGAAAGCAGGGGACCUUCGGGCCUUGCGCGAUUGAAUGAGCCGAUGUCGGAUUAGCUAGUUGGCGGGGUAGAGGCCCACCAAGGCGACGAUCCGUAGCUGGUCUGAGAGGAUGAUCAGCCACACUGGAACUGAGACACGGUCCAGACUCCUACGGGAGGCAGCAGUGGGGAAUAUUGGACAAUGGGCGCAAGCCUGAUCCAGCCAUACCGCGUGGGUGAAGAAGGCCUUCGGGUUGUAAAGCCCUUUUGUUGGGAAAGAAAUCCAGCCGGCUAAUACCUGGUUGGGAUGACGGUACCCAAAGAAUAAGCACCGGCUAACUUCGUGCCAGCCGCCGCGGUAA